UACGUAGGUGGCAAGCGUUGUCCGGAUUUACUGGGCGUAAAGAGCGCGCAGGCGGUCGUUCAAGUCGCGUGUGAAAGCCCCCGGCUCAACUGGGGAGGGUCACGCGAUACUGAUCGACUCGAAGGCAGGAGAGGGAAGUGGAAUUCCCGGUGUAGUGGUGAAAUGCGUAGAUAUCGGGAGGAACACCAGUGGCGAAGGCGACUUCCUGGCCUGUACUUGACGCUGAGGCGCGAAAGCUAGGGGAGCAAACGGG
rnacentral:rRNA from 1 species